rnacentral:rRNA from 1 species
UUAUUUGAGAGUUUGAUCCUGGCUCAGGAUGAACGCUGGCGGCGUGCCUAACACAUGCAAGUUGAGCGAUUUACUUCGGUAAAGAGUGGCGGACGGGUGAGUAACGCGUGGGU